GCAUUGCUUGAACGCGCCAUGGAUCCUCUCUCAGAACUACAAGAUGACGUGACCCUGGAUGAUACCAGCCAAGCUCUGAACCUGUUGAAGCUGGCCUCUAUUGAUGAGAAGAACUGGCCUUCUGAUGAAAUGCCAGACUUUCCCAAGUCAGAUGACUCCAAAAGCAGCUCUCUAGAACCUGUCACACACCUGAAAUGGGAUGACCCUUACUAGGACAUUGCCCGGCACCAGCUUGUAGAAGUAGCAGGUGAUGAUAAAUAUGGACGGAGGAUCAUUGUAUUUAGUGCUUGCCGGAUGCCCCCCAGCCACCAGCUGGACCACAGCAAACUCUUGGGGUACUUGAAACACACACUGGACCAGUAUGUGGAGAGUGACUACACACUCCUGUACCUGCACCAUGGCCUGACCAGUGACAACAAGACCUCCCUCAGCUGGCUACGGGACGCCUACCGAGAGUUUGACCGCAAGUACAAGAGCAUCAAGGCUCUGUACAUCGUGCACUCAACCAUGUUCAUCAAAACUCUGCUUAUCCUCUUUAAGCCCCUCAUCAGUUUCAAAUUUGGACGGAAGAUCUUUGUGAAUUACCUGAGCGAGCUAAGUGAGCACGUGAGGCUAGAGCAGUUGGGGAUCCCUCGCCAAGUGCUCAAGUAUGAUGACUUCCUCAAAUCCACACAGAAGAGCCCUGCAACAGCUCCCAAGCCCAUGCCACCACGAAACACAUUCCCAGACAGACAAAAAGGUGUCUUCACUAAUGCCUUAUGCAUUUCUAAAUCUAAUCAAACUGACAGUCUGAAUUAA